GACGAACGCUGGCGGCGUGCUUAACACAUGCAAGUCGAACGAAGAGCGAUGGAAGCUUGCUUCUAUCAAUCUUAGUGGCGAACGGGUGAGUAACGCGUAAUCAACCUGCCCUUCAGAGGGGGACAACAGUUGGAAACGACUGCUAAUACCGCAUACGAUCUAAACUCGGCAUCGAGGAUAGAUGAAAGGUGGCCUCUACAUGUAAGCUAUCACUGCAGGAGGGGAUUGCGUCUGAUUAGCUAGUUGGAGGGGUAACGGCCCACCAAGGCGAUGAUCAGUAGCCGGUCGGAGAGGAUGAACGGCCACAUUGGGACUGAGACACGGCCCAGACUCCUACGGGAGGCAGCAGUGGGGAAUCUUCCGCAAUGGACGAAAGUCUGACGGAGCAACGCCGCGUGAGUGAUGACGGCCUUCGGGUUGUAAAGCUCUGUUAAUCGGGACGAAAGGCCUUCUUGCGAAUAGUGAGAAGGAUUGACGGUACCGGAAUAGAAAGCCACGGCUAACUACGUG
rnacentral:rRNA from 1 species